GAUGUAGCUCAGUGGAGGAGUGCUUGCUUAGUAUGUGCAAGGCCCUGGGUUCAAUCCCCAGCAUC
rnacentral:tRNA from 1 species